UAAGAUGUAUCGUCCGGAUAAAAAUUCUUUAACUGUUGUAACUCUUUCUUACAGGUUGGCUGUUUGUGCUAGACUUCAAUAACUUUUGCUUUCUACAUUUUUAUUAACAACCUUAAACAACCCAUGUUGCAAAUGCUGGAAGGCUCUAGUUUCCAAUGUUAAGAAGCUUCGUGCUCUUUGAAUCAAAGCCUCUCAAAUAGCAGGGAGUAGAGACUUGAUGGUUCUAUAUUUUGAAGGGUGUCGAAUAUUAGCAAGGUACAAAAAGUUUGAAAAAUAAACUGACUCAGUGCUGGUUUCUCAACAUAAAACAAUUUUCAUUCUUUUCACAACCCCGUUGUUCUGAGACCGGAUACUAUGAAUCCUAGAGAACCAAAGGAUUGGCCACAUUUAUCAUUUGCCAUAAUGGUUUUCUUAUUCUCAUUUAGAACGCGAUAACUAAUAUUCUUCUCGAUGGAAACCACAACGACGAUCUUCUUUUUAUACUUGGUCAUGAUGCUCCGAGUGAGAAAGAAGUACGAAUAAAGGUGGCUGAUAUCUUUGAGAGAUUGCGUGGAAUUGGCAGAGCUCGACAUGAACAAAGACAAAUCAGAACUCUUCUUGACAAAAACACUGGUGGGCAGGCCGAAUACAAGUCCGCGCUAUCACAGCUGAUGCAGUUAAUUUAUCAUCCAGAUCGACCAGAGUUGGUUGAUGUCGAGUUCAAAUCGCAUGGUUUAAAAGAUUUUUUAAAAACUGGAUUUGGGUUGUUUAUGAAUGUGAGCAAGCCGAGGCCAGAUGAUCACAAAACUCUGUAUGUUUUUGUAAUUGGUGGCAUCACAUUUAACGAAGUUCGUCAAAUUCGAGAAAUUGCGAAGAAGCUUAGGCCAUCCGCUGAGGUGAUCGUCGGCAGUACACGGAUCGUCACGCCCACAGAUAUUCUGGAGCAAGUUCUUUGCAGCGAGAACUUGUUCGUCAGUCUCGAUUGAAACAAGCUACUUGCAACUUCAGGUUGAUGGCAUAGAGGCAACAGAGAACGAACGACGGUAACAAAAACGGAUGAAUAUCGGGAUAUCAGAACUGAAUAGCUAGUUGCUAUACGCAACAAUGGUUUCCACACAGGGCAAGAGAAGAAACAACAAGGAACUGACGCAAUUGAGUCUUUCAGAUGUUCAUGCGGAUAACAACUAGCCUGAUUAUGUUUUUAAGAAGUACAGUUUGGGGAAAUACAGGCACGAAUCGGCCUGUAUCGUUUUUCUAACUUCCAGGUUUUUGUAGCUUUUAAUUGGGAAUGCAACGAUGAAUUCACGUGCGAAAUGAAGCAUUAUAUAAUAUAGAUUCAAAGAUUAUGUUUAAUUCUAUAGAAACAAGAGAGGUUUCAGUAA